rnacentral:misc_RNA from 1 species
UACGAAGUGAGCUUGCAUUGUUCGGAAUUACUGGGCGUAAAGCGCACGUAGGCGGAUUGUUUAGUGAGGGGUGAAAUCCCGGGGCUCAACCCCGGAACUGCCUCUCAUACUGGCAAUCUCGAGUCCGGAAGAGGUGAGUGGAAUUCCGAGUGUAGAGGUGAAAUUCGUAGAUAUUCGGAGGAACACCAGUGGCGAAGGCGGCUCACUGGUCCGGAACUGACGCUGAGGUGCGAAAGCGUGGGGAGCAAACAGG